UCCCUAUGAGGAAGCAAUCCCAAAAGAUAGGAAGUGCCGUAUGACACUUUAAUCAGCAGCGGUCAC
rfam:Populus trichocarpa scaffold_2_contig_148, whole genome shotgun sequence.